rnacentral:rRNA from 1 species
UACGGACGGGGCGAGCGUUGUUCGGAAUCAUUGGGCGUAAAGGGCGCGUAGGUGGUUCUGUAUGUCUAUCGUGAAAGCGUACGGCUCAACCGUAUUUUGUCGGUAGAAACUGCAGGACUUGAGGCUGGGAGGGGCUGGUGGAAUUCCCUGUGUAGCGGUGAAAUGCGUAGAGAUGGGGGAGAACACUCGUGGCGAAGGCGGCCAGCUAGACCAGUUCUGACACUGAGGCGCGACAGCGUGGGGAGCAAACAGG